GAUGAACGCUGGCGGCGUGCCUAAUACAUGCAAGUCGAGCGAACAGACGAGGAGCUUGCUCCUCUGACGUUAGCGGCGGACGGGUGAGUAACACGUGGAUAACCUACCUAUAAGACUGGGAUAACUUCGGGAAACCGGAGCUAAUACCGGAUAAUAUAUUGAACCGCAUGGUUCAAUAGUGAAAGACGGUUUUGCUGUCACUUAUAGAUGGAUCCGCGCCGCAUUAGCUAGUUGGUAAGGUAACGGCUUACCAAGGCAACGAUGCGUAGCCGACCUGAGAGGUGGGGCGCCACACAGAAAUGGAGACCGGGGCAGAGACUCCAGCGGGAGGAGGCAGUGGGGAAUUCUCCGGAAGGGGGAAAGGCUGGACGAACCAGCGCGGGGGGGAAGAUAAGGGUGUUGUGACCCAAAAAACGUUUUAUAGGGAAAAAAAAAAUGGGUAAGUAACUAGGCCGGGCUUGGGGCUACGUAAAAGGAAGGCCGGGCAAACCUCGGAG
rnacentral:rRNA from 1 species